GUGCUUUCGCUGAAAGGGUUUAUUGCGAUGUUUCUUUGCUUCGACUGGCUUUGGGACAUUCCGUUUCCUAUUGCCCAAUCACUGCGGCAGCAAAGUGGCAGUACAGGAUGUUCUCUAGGGAUGCGAUCUCAGGAAAUAAUUCCGGCCUCGAGAAGUCACCUUAAAAAGUGACUGGGCAGUGCACUGCCAGCUGAAAGGAGAAUCAUGAGAGAUGCAAUUCAAAGUAGGGUUUCGUCCCCAGGCGCACGUGCGAACACCAACAAGGGGCGGGGCUUAGGGAUUUCGCAGCCCGGGGAGGCGGGUUCCGCUGUGUCGGAUCUGGAGUGGAGACCGCUCUCUGCUUGCGCGUGCGCAUUGCGAACCUUCCCCGACGCUGUUUUCUGCUCCAAGAUGGAAUUCCGCUCCGCGCGGCAAGCAAUAAUGCAGCUGCUACGUACGGUGGCUCCGGCAGACCUCCCAGCGCUGCUCGAGUGGAUGAGAACUACCCGAGAUUUUGAUGAGUUCACUCAAGAUAAUAAUGACAUUAUGUUGAAAAACAUAGCAGAAGACCUUCGGAAUUGCUUACCUCUAGAAACCAUGCUUUCCUCAGAACAUCUAGCGCUCCAAAAAAUACAGCAGCAGCCAGAACCCACAGUUCACGUUGAUGCAUUCCUUUAUGAUGAAGACUUUAUUGAUUCAUUAUGUGAGGAAGGAAAAAUGAGCAGAAACUACUGUAUGGUGUGUGGCUCACACCAGACUGCACCUUUAGGAUUUAUUUCUCAUUCCUUCUCCCUCACGGAAUUGAAGUUCAUUUAUCAUCAUGUCCUCCCUGAUCUGUCGGGAAAGGUCUUGGUUGACGUUGGCUCCAGGCUUGGCACAGUCCUUUAUGGGGGUUAUCUUUACAGUUCAGCACGGCAACUAUAUGGAGUAGAAUUGAAUGGAGAUUUUUGCCAGUUGCAGGAAAUGGUUAUUAAAAAAUACCAGUUCACUGACAGAAUAAAGGUGCUUCAUGCAGACAUCUGUACCCAAGGUUCACUUCUGCAAAAUGCUGAUGUUAUUAUAAUGAAUAACGUCUUCGAAUAUUUUCUUGAUGAGGCAGAACAGGCCAGAGCCUGGGAAUAUAUCAGCCAUAAUGUAAGGAAACAAGGAUCCUUAUUAGUAACAGUACCAAGCCUUGAAGAUUCUCUCUCAAGUCUUCAGAGAGAGAAACAGAGCAUUCAAGCAUAAACAAGGGAAGGACAGAGGGAGAGAGGGGGAGAGAAUCCCAAACUGGCUCUAUGCUCAGCACAGAGCCCAACAGUCUGAAGGGGAAUCAUGACCUGAGCUGAAAUCAAGAGUCAGACACUCAACCAACUGAGCCACCCAGCUGCUCCAGAUUAUUUGCUUUUUGGAUGGUGAGUUUGAGAAGUUUUUUAUAGAUUUUGGAUACUGUUUAUCAAAUAUGUCAUUUACAAAUAUCUUCCAUUCCUUAAGCUGCCUUUUAGUCUUGUUGAUUGUUUCCUUCACUGUGCAGAAGCUUUUUAUCUUGAUGAAGUCCCAAUAGUUCAUUUUUGCUUUUGUUUCCCUUGCCUCCAGAGACCUGUCUAGUAAGAAGUUGCUAUGGCCGAGGUCAAAGAGGUUGCUGCCUAUGUUCUCCUCUAGGAUUUUGAUGGUUUCCUGUCUCACAUUUAGGUCUUUCAUCCAUUUUGAAUUUAUUUUUGAGUACAGUGUAACAAAGUGGUUCAGUUUCCUUCUUCUGCAUGUCACUGUCCAGUUUUGUCAACACCAUUUGUUGAAGAGACUGUCUUUUUUCCAUUGGAUAUUCUUUCCUGCUUUGUCAAGGAUUAGCUGACCAUAUCAUUGUGGUGAUUUUUUUCCUCUGGCCCUGGUAGUUUUCUCACAUGCCUGUACCGAUCAGUACUCAACUGAAGACUCAAGAGGUACUCUCCCAAGCUCUUCUUUUGUGCAGCUCUCUCCUCUGGUUUUCAACCUGAAAUUCUGAUGCUUUCACCUCCCAGAUCUUCCAACUCUGUUUCCUCUGCUCAGAGAGGUGACCGAGCUUUGCUUGGGUUCCUCCUCCCUAUGCUGCAGCCUGAAAAAAUCUCCUGCAGCCAGAGCAAUUAUAGGAAUUUCCUUCUCUGAAAAAUCUCUGUCCUGCACUGCCUGCUCUUUGAUCCCUGAAAACUAUGACUUCAUACAUUUUGUCCAGUUUCUAAAUUAUUUUAGGUGAGAGACUAAUUCUGGUCUCUGGUGAUAGCAGAUAUCAUACCAUAUAUUUUUUUUAUUUCCUAUUUUAAGUUUUUUGAAUCAUUUCUCAAGAUGGAGGAAGCUAAUAAAGUGGGAAAGGCAAAAAAGCCUGAAAUGAACAAUUAAGAAACGCAAGAAACAAUCACGAUACUUUGACAAAAUGUAGUACUAGCUAAUAACUAAAUACCCAAAGCCUUUCAGAAAACAUGUCAAAAACCCUUUUAAUCAUUACCAUAUCUCAACUUUACAGCUUCAAGUAUUAAACAGACUCUAGCACUGGCAGCUUUUGGAAAACCCACCCUUCACUGCAGUUUUACCUAGACAGAGACAGUGCAAGCAGGGGAGGGCAGAGAGAGGGAGACACAGAAUCCGAAGCAGGCUCCAGGCUCUGAGCUGUCUGCACAGAACCCGACGCAGGACUCAAACUCAUGAACCGUGAGAUCAUGACCUGAGCUGAAGCCGGAUGCUUAACCUACUGAGCCGCCCAGGUGCCCCUCAGGUCAUGAAUAUUUAAUGAAAAUAACAAAAUUAGUUAUCAUCUUUGAAGGGGAGAAAAUUUCAGGUAAGAAAAGACCUAUUCUGUCCACCUACAGUAGACUGCUUAAUACUGCAAGGAAGGCAUUUAGCAAGAGCACACUGGAGAUAAGUGCCCAGGGCUUUCUCCUCUUUGAUCUACAUAUUGUGCUUCAUGUGCCAAGGGUGUGACACCAUCUUAAACACAAUCUUACCUUUCCCCCCUCAGACACCAAAUUGACAGGGUAGAAUAGAUGGAGCACUAUGGAUGGAGCUAUGGCAUACCAGGGAGAAAAAUCUCUAUUAUGUAAUUUUCUGUAUCUUCAAAACAAAUCAAGCUUCAAACAGGAAAUAUUGUCACCCCUAGAAAAGUUCUACCCAUCAGAAUAUGAGAUACUCAUGUGUUGCUGAUAGUAGUGUCAUAAAAGCCUUAAAAUGUUUAAAGACCUUGACUAAGCAGUUCCAUCUCUGGGAACUUAAGAAAAUAAUCGGAUAUUUAUAGAAUUACUUACAUAUGAUAGUUCAUCACAGUAUUGUUUAUAAUGGUUAAACAUUGGAAACAAACUAAAUGUCUAAUAGAGAUUAAGGACAGAGCAACCAUAUUCUGAAAUGAUAAUCAGGAGUAGAAGAAUAUGUCAGAAUGUGAAUAAAUAUUCACAAUGUAUUGUUAGGUUAAAAAAUGAGGUUACAAAAUAUGGAAAAGUAUUUAAUUGAAAAUCAAAUGUCAGUAAAUGUCACAGAUUUCACAGUAGACAGCAGUAAGCCAGUCAUUCAUUUCAGACAUCACUCUAAAUCAGAAUACUUAUGUAAGGAACAAUCCAAAGUUAAGCUCUUAGAUAAUGUGUAUGCUAUUAUGCUUCAGAAGAUUCAGGGGAUACAUUUUUGGACAGUUAUCAGUAAUUUCAAUAUGUGCCUUUUUUACAUUGACCCUACUUGAGAUUUGUGACUAGCAAAUAUUAAUGUAUUUCUGCUCUUAAAUCACGAAAUUCGUUUAUUCCUUGUGGAUAUGUGAAAUCACGUGGUUGCUUGUUUCUGCUUGAACAAUAUGAAAUGCCUUUCUUCAUUAGGUGGGAUUCAUGCAUAUCUAAUUUUCCAUGGAAGAUUAAUGACAGCAUAAUAUACAAUAUAUGACUAAAACCUAAAUGGAUAUGCUGUUCAUGGUUGACUUGUAACAUUGAUAUCAUUACCUUGAAAUUGGUGUUUAGGGCCUCAUUCUUCUGCAUUUUGUAUGACUAAGGAAUAUUUUGAAUUUUAUAAAUAAAAUGUUAUACCAAUUGGUCUUUAAAGAAAAAGUGGUGCCAAUCUAUUAAAAUACUGAUGCAUCUUUAUAAUAGUAAUAGAUAGAAGUAGAGAAUAUUAGUUGAUGUGGUUGAAAUGAAGAAACCUUCACAGAUAUCAGUAGAAGAUAGCUAGCUAACUCUUUCCUAAAAAGGCAUACACUUGUACAUCAACAUUUCUUAAUAAUUACCUCAGGCCUGAAAAUUAUUGAAAUCCUUACUCCUAGGUCAUUAUAUUAGAACAAGAAUGCUUCUUGAAUGCUUAUAAUCUAUAUUUUGAACAAGGAUUAUACAGUGGAUUUGAAAUUUAAAAAAAAAGAGGUCACAGAGUAUUAUAUAGAAUAUGAUCCCAAUUACACAUGUGUUUGUGUAUAUGUGUAUAAAUGUACAUAUAAAUAAAAAUGUUUAAAGUUAUAUGCCCAGAUGUAAACAGUGAUUAUCUCAAAGGUGGCUUUUUUCUUUCUUUCUUUCUUUCUGCUUUUCUGUGUAUUUCAAACUUUUUUUUUUAAUGUUUAUUUUAUUUUUGAGAGAGAGAGAGAGAGACAAAGCGUGAGCAGGCGAGGAGUAGAGAGAGAGAUAGAGACACAGAAUCUGAAACAGACUCCAGGCUCUGAGCUGUCAGCACAGAGCCGGAUGCAGGGCUUGAACCCACGGACCACGAGAUCAUGACCUGAGCCAAAGUCAGAUGCCUAACCGACUGAGCCACUAGAUGCCCCUGCAUAUUUCAAACUUUUAAGAAUGAAAAGCUGGUAGGGGCGCCUGGGUGGUUCAGUUGGUUGAGUGUCUGACUUGGGCUCAGGUCAUGAUCUCACGGUUCAUGGGUUUGAGCCCCAUGUUGGGCUCUGGGCUGACAGCUCAGAGCCCGGAGCCUACUUAGGGAUUCUGUGUCUCCCUCUCUCUCUGCCCCUCCCCCAUUCAUGCUCUGUCUCUCUCAGCCUCUCAAAAAUAAAGAAACGUAAUAAAAAAAAAUUGUUUAAAGAAUGAAAAGCCGGUAUUCCUUUUGUUGUCAAAGAAAAGUACAGCAAUUUUUAACAAAGUUCUACUUUUCUGAAGUUCCAUUAUUCUCAUUUGGCAUCACUCUUCCCAGCCUCACUUUCUGAAUGUCUAUAUAUUGUCUAUAUCUUCGUAGUAUCAAUUGUCAAUGUCUGAUAUUUAUCAGAGAUUCACCGUUAUAGGAUUACAAGCUUCCAAUUUUUCUCAAGGUACCUCUCCAUUUAACAAGUAUUUGCUAAAUUAAACUAAAUACAUUUAUCUUUCUGUUAGCCUAGCCUCUGUGACAGAGCUGCAAGGUAGAACUGUGUGUAAUGGGGCUUCAGGAGUAGGAGGGAUAAAUUAAUAUUAUGCCAAAUAUUAAUGCCAAACACUUAAUAAUUUCUUUGCAAAGCAAUAUUACAAAAAUGCAAUGCUGUAUGCCAAGGUGAAAUAGAAAAUGUUCCAGAAAGGAGUGGGAACAUUGGGAAGCCAACUAAACAGAAAAGUGUUGGGGCCCCUCCCCCAGAAAAAAUCUUAAGGGUCUGGGAACUCUUUCUUUUUUUGCUUCUUCCUUCCUUUUUUUUUUUUUUUUAAGCAGUUAUUAUUUUUAGUUACUUAUUUCCUUUUGGGCAACUCUAUAGUGAGAAAAGUUUUUUCUUUCCCCCUAGCUCAAAGUUUAAGUAUCAAACAUGUGAAUGAGCCAGUGCCUUCUCUCAGGGAGAGUGCAGCUCCAGGGAAUGAAGACCAAGGAUCUCUAGCUAUCAUUCUUGGGGGUGGUCCUAGAGAGUUAGAGACUCUGUGCCUAUUGAGAGAGACCGGAAGCCAAACCAGUGUGUGGGUACAAAAGAGACCCAAAGACUAAGAAUGGUCCUUGGUCACCUGUGGUGCUAGGAGUGAGAUCACAGAGAAACAGCAUGCAGCAUCAUUGACUGGCCAAUUAUUGGAUUUAGGGAUUAGCAGCAAAAACAAAACAGAACACAUUGGGGACAACAGCAUACGCACCUGAGGUGGUGACAGAGCUGGGAUCUCUAUUCUCGGGAAAUUAGUUAUUAAAAUGGCCCUUUACGGGGCGCCUGGGUGGCUCACUCGGUUAAGCAUCCGACUUCAGCUCAGGUCAUGAUCUUGUGCUUCAUGGGUUCCAGCCCUUCAUUGGGCUUUGUGCUAACAGCUCAGACCCUGGAGCCUGCUGUGGAUUCUGUAUCUCCCUCUCUCUGCUCCUCUCCCCACUCAUGCUCACACUCUCUCUCUCUGUCUCAAAAGUAAACUUUUUUUAAAAAUAAUAAAAAUAAGUAAAUAAAAUGCCCCUUUACUGGGCACCUGGCUGGCUCAGUCAGUGGAACAUGUGACUCUUGAUCUCAGGGUUAUGAGUUCGAGCCCCACAAUGGAUGUAGUGAUUACUUAAAAAUAAAAUCUUUAAAAUAAAAUAAAAUGCCCCUCUGCAUAAGAAAUUACCAAAAAAAAAAAAAAAAAAGACACAAUACAGGUUUAGGGGAGGACAAGAGUAGGGGGAGUUACAUGUGUACAUAACACAGGGCUGUGUUAUCAUCCACAACCCCACCACAGAGAGUUGGGGUACAGCCACCAGUGGCAGACAACUUUCAUCAAAAAGUAGACAGCUGUAACUUUGAGUCUCCAAUGUGCUAGCCAGGGUAAGAGCCGCUACUUCCAUUAAGGGAACAUAAAACUGAAAGCUGCAAAUGACACUUUUUCUAUUCUGUGCUUUGCUUUCCAGCAAGUCACGUGUUUAUCAGACUUCUCUUUAUUUAAAACUGGGUAAUACUUUUUUCUCACCUUGCAGGUGCCUCCUGAAAUACAGUCAACACAAUGCUGUGCUUUGGCUACUUGUGUUUUUUAAGAAUAAACCAAAAUCAGCAUUUUUAAUCAACCACAUUGGACCAGAUUGGGAGAGAAAGACUAAUGUGUUCCAAUUGCCUCGUUCCUCUUUAUGACCAAGCAGGAAGUUUCAGAGCAAACCUCCACCUCUCAGGAAGUUUACGUCAAAAUGAGUAUUGACAUCCUGUUUAAUAGAGUCUUAAAUUUUUUCCUCACUUCCAGACACUCACCAUUUGAAUUAAAAUGUUUGAGUAAUCUGUCCUGAAAUUAUGUUUCCUUUGACUCUCAGAAGACUAUGUCUAAGUGACAAAUGGAAUAUCUCUAUGACUAAUAAUGAUAAAAGUUAAAGUUU